UCAAAUCAGGCAGGACUACCCGCUGAACUUAAGCAUAUCA
rnacentral:rRNA from 1 species